AUUAAUAAUUAAUAUAUUUAAUAAAAAUAAUUUUAAUUUAAUAAGUAUUUUAAUGGGGGUUAAAGUAUUUUUUAAAGAAAAAAUUUUUAAAUUUAUAGUUAAUUAGUAUUGUGAAAGAAUUUUGAAAUAUUAUGAAAAAUAAAAUUUUUAGAAAGUAAUUUUUAUUUAUUGUAUCUUGUGUAUCAGAGUUUAUUAAAAAUUUUUAAUUUAUGAAUUAAUUUCUCGAAUUUAAAAGAGUUAAAUAAUUAUUAAAGUUAUUGUAGCAAAAUUAUUUUAAAUAAUUAUUUAGAAAUGAAAUGUUAAUCGUUUUUAAAUAUAUCUAGUUUUUAUAGAAAAAAAUUUAAUUUUAAAUUUAAAAAUUAUUUAAUUAAUUUAUUAAUUAAAUAGUUACUUAAAUUUUAUAAUUUAAGGGAUAAGCUUUAAAUUAAAUUUUUAUAAUAUUAAAUUUUUAUUUUGAAAAUUUUAUAAUUUAUAUUGUUAAUAAAUUUUAUUUUGUUAUAAAUAAUUUCAUUUUUUUUAAAAUUUAAAUUUUAUUUAAUUUUUUAUAUAAAAUUUAUUUAUAAUUAUAUAAAGUUAAUUAUAAUGAUAAAAUUAGUAUAUUAUUUAAUAUUAAAUUAAAAUUAAUUUUUGAUUAAUAAUUAAAUUAAUUAAAAGGAAUUCGGCAAAUAUUUAUUUUCACUUGUUUAUCAAAAACAUGUCUUUUUGUUAUUUAAUUUAAAGUCUAAUCUGCCCACUGAUUUAUAAAAAUUGAAGGGCUGCAGUAUAUUGACUGUACAAAGGUAGCAUAAUCAUUAGUCUCUUAAUUGGUGACUUGUAUGAAAGAUUGGAUGAAAAAUAUACUGUCUCUUAAUUAAUAUAUAGAAUUUAAUUUUUUAUUUAAAAAGUUAAAAUAACUUAAAAAGACGAGAAGACCCUAUAGAGUUUAAUAAAUUAUUUUAUGAAAGUUUUAUUUAUAUUUAUUAAUAAUUUUAUAAAUUUACUUAUUUAGUUGGGGUGAUAAAAAAAUAAAUUUAACUUUUUUUAAGUAAUUUACAUGGAUAAGUGAUUAAU
rnacentral:rRNA from 1 species